UAUGUGUAUAUGUGUGCUAGAUGCACAUAGAUAACAUAUACAUAAUAAUUUAGUUAAAUAAUACGGAAAAGGAGAUAGAAACUGUUAAUGUUAAAACAUUUUUUUUCCAGAUCGUUCUUGCCUGCCUUGCCGCCGUGGCUGUUGCCACUCCUCAGUUCGAUGAUCGAGUAGUCGCCCUCCUUCGCGAUGACCGCGUAGCCAACGAAGACGGCACCUUCUCCUACGCCCUGGAAGCCGACAACGGCAUCAACACAGCCGUUGCUGGAGUUGUUGGAUCUGCCGGUCAGAUCAACCAGGAGGGAUCUUACACCUAUACCCUUGCGGACGGUACCCAGGCUGUUGUCACUUUCGUGGCCAACGAGAACGGCUUCCAGCCCCAGUCCAGCAUCCUGCCCACUCCCCAUCCUCUUCCUGCCCACGUCUAUGAACUGUUGGAAAUUGCUGAGCGUCAGCGUGCUGCAGGCAUCGUGUUCAACUAAAGGAAUAAGAAAAAUGGCAAAUUAAAUGUAUGGAUGUGAAAUGAAAGUUGAUACAAUAAAGUUAUGAUUGAUA
rnacentral:lncRNA from 1 species